UACGAGGGGGGCGAGCGUUGUUCGGAAUUAUUGGGCGUAAAGGGUGCGUAGGCGGUUCCGCAAGUCCUGUGUGAAAUCUUCGGGCUCAACUCGAAGUCUGCACGGGAAACUGCGGGGCUUGAGUGUGGGAGAGGUGAGUGGAAUUCCCGGUGUAGCGGUGAAAUGCGUAGAUAUCGGAAGGAACACCUGUGGCGAAAGCGGCUCACUGGACAAUAACUGACGCUGAUGCACGAAAGCUAGGGGAGCAAACAGG
rnacentral:rRNA from 1 species